rnacentral:rRNA from 1 species
CAGCCGCCGCGGGAAAACAGAGGAUGCAAGCGUUAUCCGGAAUGAUUGGGCGUAAAGGGCUCGCAGGCGGUUUCUUAAGUCUGAUGUGAAAGCCCCCGGCUCAACCGGGGAGGGUCAUUGGAAACUGGGAAACUUGAGUGCAGAAGAGGAGAGUGGAAUUCCACGCGUAGCGGUGAAAUGCGUAGAGAUGUGGAGGAACACCAGUGGCGAAGGCGACUCUCUGGUCUGUAACUGACGCUGAGGAGCGAAAGCGUGGGGAGCGAACAGGAUUAGAUACCCGCGUAGUCCCUGUCUCUUAUAA